UUAAUGGGUGAUAGCGUGCCUUUUGUAGAAUGAACCGGCGAGUUACGAUUACGUGCGAGGUUAAGUUGAGAAGACGGAGCCGCAGCGAAAGCGAGUCUGAAUAGGGCGAAUUAGUACGUGGUCGUAGACCCGAAACCAGGUGAUCUACCCAUGUCCAGGGUGAAGGUGAGGUAACACUUACUGGAGGCCCGAACCCACGCACGUUGAAAAGUGCGGGGAUGAGGUGUGGGUAGCGGAGAAAUUCCAAUCGAACCUGGAGAUAGCUGGUUCUCUCCGAAAUAGCUUUAGGGCUAGCCUCGUGAUCGAGAAUACUGGAGGUAGAGCACUGUUUGGACUAGGGGGGCAUCUCGCUUUACCGAAUUCAGACAAACUCCGAAUGCCAGAUAUUUAUACACGGGAGUCAGACUGCGAGUGAUAAGAUCCGUAGUCAAGAGGGAAACAGCCCAGACCACCAGCUAAGGUCCCAAAGUAAUUGUUAAGUGGAAAAGGAUGU
rnacentral:rRNA from 1 species